CCUGGUUGAUCCUGCCAGUAGCAUAUGCUUGUCUCAAAGAUUAAGCCAUGCAUGUCUAAGUAACAAGCCGCUAGACGGCGAAACCGCGAAUGGCUCAAUAAAUCAGAGUUAUGGUUCCUUAGAUCCACUCCAUCCUACUUGGAUAACUGUGGUAAUUCUAGAGCUAAUACAUGCACUCGAGCCUCGACUGCGCCCGCUUCGCGGUGGGGGCAGAAGAGGUGCUUUUAUUAGAUCAAAACCAGUCGGGGCGAGCGGCGGGCAACCGGCCCGCGACCCGUACCAAUUUUGGUGACUCUGGAUAACUUCACGCCGAUCGCAUGGCCUUCGAGCCGGCGACGUAUCUUUCAAAUGUCUGCCUUAUCAACUGUCGAUGGUAGGUUACGCGCCUACCAUGGUUGCUACGGGUAACGGGGAAUCGGGGUUCGAUUCCCGGAGAGGGAGCCUGAGAAACGGCUACCACAUCCAAGGAAGGCAGCAGGCGCGCAAAUUACCCACUCCCGGCACGGGGAGGUAGUGACGAAAAAUAAACGAUACGGGACUCUUCCGAGGCCCCGUGAUUGGAAUGAGUACACUUUAAAUCCUUUAACGAGGAACCACCACUUCCAAGGAAGGCAGCAGGCGCGCAAAUUACCCAAUCCUGACACAGGGAGGUAGUGACAAAAAAUAACAAUACAGGAUCUUUUAGGUCUUGUAAUUGGAAUGAGUACAAUUUAAACCCCUUAACGAGGAACAAUUGGAGGGCAAGUCUGGUGCCAGCAGCCGCGGUAAUUCCAGCUCCAAUAGCGUAUAUUAAAGUUGUUGCGGUUAAAAAGCUCGUAGUCGGAUGUCUGUCUUCGGCCGGGCGGCGCCGCUCUGAAUCAAGGGUGUUGCGUUUCACGCUCUGGGAGCCCGGGUGUCAAAGCCCGACUCUCUUCACGGUCGGACAACAUCGCCGGAGGGGUGGCCGGGGGGUCGCGUUGUAUCGGUUCGCGUGGCGUUUCGUUUUCUUCCUCAUCGGGGUUCGAUUCCGGAGAGGGAGGGGUGAUCGCUCGCGUUCAGUUGACGCGGUUCGCUCCACCCAGUCAAUCGUUCGGGGUGCCCUUCACCGGGUGUCUCGGGCGGCCGGCAACGUUUACUUUGAACAAAUUAGAGUGCUCAAAGCAGGUGUAUCCCAACGCCUGAAAUAUCGCAGCAUGGAAUGAUGGAAUAGACCUCGGUCCGAUUUUGCUGGUCCUUUCCUUUUGGACCCGAAGGUUCGAAGGCGAUCAGAUACCGCCCUAGUUCUAACCAUAAACGAUGCCAACCAGCAAUCCGUCGGAGUUACUCCAAUGACUCGGACGGGCAGCUUCCGGGAAACCAAAGUCUUUGGGUUCCGGGGGAAGUAUGGUUGCAAAGCUGAAACUUAAAGGAUUGACAGAUUGAGAGCUCUUUCUUGAUUCGGUGGGUGGUGGUGCAUGGCCGUUCUUAGUUGGUGGAGCGAUUUGUCUGGUUAAUUCCGAUAACGAACGAGACUCUAGCCUGGCUAAAUAGGUGACGGGUUUUAUCAAUUGAAACCGAAGGGAGUACGGAGGCGUCGGGAUCAGGUGGCGGCGGUUCGGGAGGAAGGGGCCGGGUUCUUUAGCGGGCUCUUUUCGCGGCGUGGAUUCGGUUGGAAGCAAAAAGGAUGGGGGAGUUGGUGUUCGGGGUUUCGGCUCCGGCGUUUGGCUUUUCUUUUCUUGCGUUUCCUGCCGGGCUGCGUCGCGAGGGGGUUUUGCGGGAGCUCGGUCCUUUGUUUCUCGGUCGUCGUCAUCCCCGGCGAUACCUUCUGCUCUCGCGUCCGUCAGCAGUCUUCUUAGAGGGACAAGCGGCGCCCAGCCGCGUGACAGUGAGCAAUAACAGGUCUGUGAUGCCCUUAGAUGUCCUGGGCCGCACGCGCGCUACACUGAAGGAAUCAGCGUGUUUCACUCUCCCUGUCCGAAAGGGACCGGGUAACCGCUGAACCUCCUUCGUGGUUGGGAUUGGGGACUGCAAUGAUCCCCAUGAACCAGGAAUCCCUAGUAGGCGCGGGUCACUAGCCCGCGUCGAUUACGUCCCUGCCCUUUGUACACACCGCCCGUCGCUACUACCGAUUGAAUGAUUUAGUGAGGCCUUCGGACGGGCUUGUCGGGGUGCCGUCGCGUGGGGAGCAAUCUCUGCGCGCGCGGUGCCUACCAACGGCGAGACUGAAAGAUGGUCGAACUUGAUCCUUUAGAGGAAGUAAAAGUCGUAACAAGGUUUCCGUAGGUGAACCUGCGGAAG
rnacentral:rRNA from 1 species